rnacentral:rRNA from 1 species
GUGAGGAAUAUUGGACAAUGGGCGAGGGCCUGAUCCAGCCAUGCCGCGUGCAGGAAGAAUGCCCUAUGGGUAGUAAACUGCUUUUAUACGGGAAGAAAAAGGGGCACGUGUGCCCUGUUGACGGUACCGUAAGAAUAAGGACCGGCUAACUCCGUGCCAGCAGCCGCGGUAAUACGGAGGGUCCGAGCGUUAUCCGGAAUUAUUGGGUUUAAAGGGUCCGUAGGCGGGCCGGUAAGUCAGUGGUGAAAGUCUGUAGCUCAACUAUAGAAUUGCCUUUGAUACUGCCGGUCUUGAGUCAAGGUGAAGUGGGCGGAAUAUGUAGUGUAGCGGUGAAAUGCAUAGAUAUUACAUAGAACACCGAUUGCGAAGGCAGCUCACUAACCCUGUACUGACGCUGAUGGACGAAAGCGUGGGGAGCGAACAGGAUUAGAUACCCUAGUAGUCC